UAGUUUCGUACCACAAGAUAUGGCACUCUUCAGAUAAAUUAACCUAAUUUAUCUGAAGAGUGCCAUAUCUUGUGGUACGAAACUA